UACGUAGGGUGCAAGCGUUGUCCGGAAUUAUUGGGCGUAAAGAGCUCGUAGGCGGUUUGUUGCGUCGGCUGUGAAAACCUAAGGCUCAACCUUGGGCUUGCAGUGGGUACGGGCAGACUAGAGUGCGGUAGGGGUGACUGGAAUUCCUGGUGUAGCGGUGGAAUGCGCAGAUAUCAGGAGGAACACCGAUGGCGAAGGCAGGUCACUGGGCCGCAACUGACGCUGAGGAGCGAAAGCAUGGGGAGCGAACAGG
rnacentral:rRNA from 1 species